rnacentral:rRNA from 1 species
AUGAACCCCCUCAAGAACUCGCGCUCCGCCCUCUCCCGUCUCCUCCGCCACAAGCCCGCCGCCGUCCGGCCGCAGCCCCCGCCCCCGCCCCCGCCGGUGGUGCGGGAAACGGCCGCUCGGCACUACCACGCCGCCCCGCGCCGCCCAGGGUUCAUUCAGUCCUUCAGCCGAGGGCCCCUCCGCCACGAGCCCGCCGCCCUCUUCCGGCCGCCGCCGGCGCAGGCGCAGGUGCCUCCUCCCCGGCACUACUUCACCUCCUCCCGCCGCCCGGAGGUCAUCCACUUCGCGCGCCGCCGCGGCGGGGCGCGGUGGUACCACGACAGGCGGAAGGUCGCCGCGGUGGUCCUCCUCGCCGGCGGCGGGACCAUCGUCGUCUACUUCGGCAACCUCGAGACCGUGCCCUACACCAACCGCACCCACUUCGUCCUCGUCUCGCCCCAGCUCGAGCGCCAGCUCGGCGAGUCCCAGUUCGCCGAUCUCAAGAAGGAGCUCGCCCCCAAGAUCCUGCCCCCGCUCCACCCCGACAGCGUCCGCGUCCGCCUCAUCGCCUCCGAGAUCGUCCGCGCGCUCCACCGCGGCCUCGCCGACCGCCGCAGUGACGACUUCGAUGACGCCUCCUACGGCGACAUCUCCACCGACAUCGCCGUCAAGGCCCGCGACUUGGAUGCCGAGGACGUGAUGCACCGGGUCUCGCCUGGCAAGACCGCGGGCACGGCCGCGAGGGCUCAGCGAGACGACGAGCUUCUCGAUGACAGGUGGGUCGCCGAGAGCCGUAGACGGGGGAAGGCACGCGGAGCGCAGCCACAGACGAAGCACCUCAAUGAGCUCAAUUGGGAGGUGAUCGUCGUCAGAGAUAAGCUCAUCAAUGCAAUGUGCUUGCCCGGUGGUAAAAUUGUAGUCUUCACUGGAUUGCUCGACCAUUUCAAGACGGAUGCUGAGAUUGCGACAGUGCUUUCGCAUGAGAUUGGGCACGCUAUCGCGAGGCACUUGCCAGAGAUGAUCACCAAGGGCAUGUGGUUUACUAUCCUGCAGCUUAUCGUCCUACAGUUUAUUUACAUGCCAGACUUAAUUAAUGCAAUGUCGACUUUACUCCUCAGACUGCCCUUCUCACGAAGGAUGGAGGUAGAGGCAGAUCACAUCGGGCUCAUGCUUCAAGCUUCUGCUGGUUUCGACCCACGCACAGCUCCCAAGGUCUACGAGAAGCUAGGACAAAUCGCGGGCAAUCAGUCAGUACUGAAAAGCUACCUCUCUACUCAUCCUUCGAGUAAGAAGCGGUCCGAGCUCUUGUCUCGAGCCAAGGUAAUGGAGGAGGCGAUGCAGCUAUACAGGGAAGCUUGCGCCGGCCACGGGACCGAAGGUUUCCUGUAG